rnacentral:rRNA from 1 species
CCUACGGGCGGCUGCAGUGGGGAAUAUUGCACAAUGGGGGGAACCCUGAUGCAGCAACGCCGCGUGGGUGAAGAAGUACUCCGGUAUGUAAAGCCCUGUCAGCAGGGAAGAAAAUGACGUUACCUGACCAAGAAGCCCCGGCUAACAACGUGCCAGCAGCCGCGGUAAUACGGAGGAUGCGAGCGUUAUCCGGAUUUAUUGGGUUUAAAGGGUGCGUAGGCGGGCUUUUAAGUCAGCGGCAAAAAUUCGGGGCUCAACCCCGUCCGGCCGUUGAAACUGGGGGCCUUGAGUGGGCGAGAAGGAGGCGGAAUGCGUGGUGUAGCGGUGAAAUGCAUAGAGAUCACGCAGAACCCCGAUUGCGAAGGCAGCCUUCUGGCGCCCUACUGACGCUGAGGCACGAAAGUGCGGGGAUCGAACAGGAUUAGAUACCCCAGUAGUC